rnacentral:rRNA from 1 species
UACGUAGGUGGCAAGCGUUGUCCGGAUUUACUGGGCGUAAAGAGCGCGCAGGCGGCUGUUCAAGUCGCGUGUGAAAGCCCCCGGCUCAACUGGGGAGGGUCACGCGAUACUGAUCGACUCGAAGGCAGGAGAGGGUAGUGGAAUUCCCGGUGUAGUGGUGAAAUGCGUAGAUAUCGGGAGGAACACCAGUGACGAAGGCGACUACCUGGCCUGUUCUUGACGCUGAGGCGCGAAAGCUAGGGGAGCAAACGGG